rnacentral:tRNA from 10 species
GACCCCAUCGUCUAGUGGUUAGGACACCGCCCUCUCAAGGCGGGAACGGGGGUUCAAGUCCCCCUGGGGUCGCCA